rnacentral:tRNA from 1 species
CAAAGAGUAGUUUAAUUAAAAUUCUGGUUUUGGGGGCCAGGGAUGAAGUUUCUUUCUCUUUGA